AAUGAACAUGCUCCAGUGUGAAACUUGGCCAUCACCCUCAAAAACUGCCAUCCCUAGGCCGGAAGGUGUCUGUGACUGUCCCGCUGCUCCUUCAAAUCAGCACAUGGAACACUCACUCCUGUGUGGUGUGGAAAAGAGCCCGUUCCGAUUGUGCAGUCGCCGUAAAUUUGCCACAGCUCAGAGUCUGUAGAGCUACUGUGUAAGCCAAGUCCAUCUGUUUGUUGCAAACACUGUUUUCAUUACAUCAUGCCCCUGCUCAAGGUCUUUGAAAGCCUUCACAUCAUCUGGCAACUGAGGCCAAAACUCCCCUGCCUACUUGCCGACUGCCCCCCACCCCUGUAAUCUAUGCGUUCUAGAUUGGAUGGACACUAUGUGUCCAGCCCGGUCUCCCCCUAAUUCCCCCGUAGAUAGCCUCUGUCCAGUUCUGCUCUGACUCCCGGCCUCUGAGCCCAUGGUGGUGUCCCCCCCUCCCAUUCCAGCCGAGCUCCACUAUCCUUCAAGGACCAGCUUGAAACUUAGUUUGAAAAGCAUAAAACAAUGAUGAUACUAUUUCAGGAUUGGGUUCCCCAUCCUGAGUAGCUAAUCUCACUAUGACGAAAGGAGAUGUGUUUCAGAUGUCAGGCCC
rnacentral:lncRNA from 1 species